GGUUUGUGGAAUUUCGCUAAUUGUUCCUGCGCUUCUGCUGGUGAGGUGCUACAGAAAGGAUGCAUGCAGUAACAGUCUCUCUCAGUCUCUGAACAUCAACCAAGGCUCUGCUACACAGCAAACAGUGAACCAGAAUGAAACUCAAGUUUACUCCUCUCUUCUCCAUGCUGAUGUUUGUGUCUAUGAAUCAAUCAGAGGCUCUGGAAACACAGAAAGUGGGGAACCAGACCAUGAAUACAGAAAUAUUACAUCUCAUCUGC